CAGCUCAACUGUAGAACUGCAUCCAAAACUAUUUAGCUAGAGUGUGGGAGAGGAAGAUGGAAUUAGUUGUGUAGGGGUAAAAUCCGUAGAGAUAACUAGGAAUACCAAAAGCGAAGGCAAUCUUCUGGAACACUACUGACGCUGAGGCGCGAAAGCGUGGGGAGCAAACGGGAUUAGAUACCCCGGUAGUCCACGCAGUAAACGAUGAAUGUUAGUCGUCGGGUAGCUAGUCUAUUCGGUGAUGCAGCUAACGCAUUAAACAUUCCGCCUGGGGAGUACGGUCGCAAGAUUAAAACUCAAAGGAAUAGACGGGGACCCGCACAAGUGGUGGAGCAUGUGGUUUAAUUCGAAGAUACGCGAAGAACCUUACCUAGCCUUGACAUAUAUUAGAACUCCGCAGAGAUGUAGAGGUGCCUUCGGGAGCUUUUAUACAGGUGCUGCACGGCUGUCGUCAGCUCGUGUCGUGAGAUGUUGGGUUAAGUCCCGCAACGAGCGCAACCCUCGUCACUAGUUACUAACGGUUCGGCCGAGGACUCUAGUGAGACUGCCUUCGCAAGGAGGAGGAAGGUGAGGACGACGUCAAGUCAUCAUGGCCCUUACGGCUAGGGCAACACACGUGCUACAAUGGUUAGGACAAUGAGACGCAAUACCGCGAGGUGGAGCAAAUCUAUAAACCUAAUCUCAGUUCGGAUUGUAGUCUGCAACUCGACUACAUGAAGCUGGAAUCACUAGUAAUCGUAGAUCAGCUAUGCUACGGUGAAUACGUUCCCGGGUCUUGUACUCACCGCCCGUCACACCAUGGGAGUUGAUUUCACCCGAAGCGGGGAAGCUAAACUGGCUACCCUCCACGGUGGAAUCAGCGACUGGGGUGAAGUCGUAACAAGGUAAC
rnacentral:rRNA from 1 species